rnacentral:rRNA from 2 species
UGAUGCGAUCAUACCAGCACUAAAGCACCGGAUCCCAUUAGAACUCCGAAGUUAAGCGUGCUUGGGCGAGAGUAGUACUAGGAUGGGUGACCUCCUGGGAAGUCCUCGUGUUGCAUUCC